GGGGAAUUUUGGACAAUGGGGGCAACCCUGAUCCAGCCAUCCCGCGUGUGCGAUGAAGGCCUUCGGGUUGUAAAGCACUUUUGGCAGGGAAGAAACAGCCUGGGCUAAUAUCCCGGGCGACUGACGGUACCUGCAGAAUAAGCACCGGCUAACUACGUGCCAGCAGCCGCGGUAAUACGUAGGGUGCAAGCGUUAAUCGGAAUUACUGGGCGUAAAGCGUGCGCAGGCGGUUCGGAAAGAAAGGUGUGAAAUCCCAGGGCUUAACCUUGGAACGGCACAUUUAACUACCGGGCUAGAGUACGUCAGAGGGGGGUCGAAUUCCACGUGUAGCAGUGAAAGGCGUAGAGAUGUGGAGGAAUACCGAUGGCGAAGGCAGCCCCCUGGGAUGAUACUGACGCUCAUGCACGAAAGCGUGGGGAGCAAACA
rnacentral:rRNA from 1 species